rnacentral:piRNA from 1 species
UCACCAGUUUAGAGGUGCCAGUGCCUUCUU